ACGAACGCUGGCGGCGUGCCUAACACAUGCAAGUCGAACGAAGCUCCCCGAUACAAGGCUUCGGCCAAGUUGAAGGGAUGACUUAGUGGCGGACGGGUGAGUAACGCGUGAGGAACCUGCCUUUCAGUGGGGGACAACAGUUGGAAACGACUGCUAAUACCGCAUAAUGUUUCUGGACCGCAUGAUCUGGAAACCAAAGCUUUAUGUGCUGAAAGAUGGCCUCACGUCUGAUUAGAUAGUUGGUGAGGUAACGGCCCACCAAGUCUACGAUCAGUAGCCGGACUGAGAGGUUGAACGGCCACAUUGGGACUGAGAUACGGCCCAGACUCCUACGGGAGGCAGCAGUGGGGAAUAUUGGGCAAUGGGGGAAACCCUGACCCAGCAACGCCGCGUGAAGGAAGAAGGCUUUCGGGUUGUAAACUUCUUUUACCAGGGACGAAGGACGUGACGGUACCUGGAGAAAAAGCCACGGCUAACUACGUGCCAGCAGCCGCGGUAAUACGUAGGUGGCAAGCGUUGUCCGGAUUUACUGGGUGUAAAGGGCGUGUAGGCGGGAGAGCAAGUCAGAAGUGAAAUCCAUGGGCUUAACCCAUGAACUGCUUUUGAAACUGUUCUUCUUGAGUAUCGGAGAGGCAGGCGGAAUUCCUAGUGUAGCGGUGAAAUGCGUAGAUAUUAGGAGGAACACCAGUGGCGAAGGCGGCCUGCUGGACGACAACUGACGCUGAGGCGCGAAAGCGUGGGGAGCAAACAGGAUUAGAUACCCUGGUAGUCCACGCUGUAAACGAUGAAUACUAGGUGUGGGGGGACUGACCCCCUCCGUGCCGCAGUUAACACAAUAAGUAUUCCACCUGGGGAGUACGAUCGCAAGAUUGAAACUCAAAGGAAUUGACGGGGGCCCGCACAAGCAGUGGAUUAUGUGGUUUAAUUCGACGCAACGCGAAGAACCUUACCGGGAUUUGACAUCCUACUAACGAAGCAGAGAUGCAUUAGGUGCCCUUCGGGGAAAGUAGAGACAGGUGGUGCAUGGUUGUCGUCAGCUCGUGUCGUGAGAUGUUGGGUUAAGUCCCGCAACGAGCGCAACCCUUAUCCUUUGUUGCCAGCGGUCCGGCCGGGAACUCAAAGGAGACUGCCAGUGAUAAACUGGAGGAAGGUGGGGAUGACGUCAAAUCAUCAUGCCCCUUAUGACCUGGGCUACACACGUACUACAAUGGCGUUAAACAAAGAGAAGCAAGACCGCGAGGUGGAGCAAAACUCAGAAACAACGUCCCAGUUCGGACUGCAGGCUGCAACUCGCCUGCACGAAGUCGGAAUUGCUAGUAAUCGUGGAUCAGCAUGCCACGGUGAAUACGUUCCCGGGCCUUGUACACACCGCCCGUCACACCAUGAGAGCCGGGGGGACCCGAAGUCGGUAGUCUAACCGCAAGGAGGACGCCGCCGAAGGUAAAACUGGUGAUUGGGGUG
rnacentral:rRNA from 1 species